GGGACGAACGCUGGCGGCGUGCUUAACACAUGCAAGUCGAGCGGUAAGGCCUCUUCGGGGGUACACGAGCGGCGAACGGGUGAGUAACACGUGAGCAAUCUGCCCUUCACUUCGGGAUAAGCCUCGGAAACGGGGUCUAAUACCGGAUAUGACCGCGCCAUGCAUGUGGUGUGGUGGAAAGUUCUGGCGGUGGAGGAUGAGCUCGCGGCCUAUCAGCUUGUUGGUGGGGUAAUGGCCUACCAAGGCUUCGACGGGUAGCCGGCCUGAGAGGGUGACCGGCCACACUGGGACUGAGACACGGCCCAGACUCCUACGGGAGCAGCAGUGGGGAAUUUGGACAAUGGGCGAAAGCCUGAUCCAGCCAUGCCGCGUGCCAGGAUGAA
rnacentral:rRNA from 1 species